CGGGGCGUAGCGCAGCCCGGUAGCGCGCCUGCUUUGGGAGCAGGAUGCCGCAGGUUCGAAUCCUGUCGCCCCGA
rnacentral:tRNA from 1 species